AAAUGUGAUGUGCCCUAAAUCCCAAAUUCAAAUCAACCUUGCAAUCACUGAGAGAGAGGGAUUGAGAACAGUAUGCAGAAGCGAGAGCAGGGCAAGUCGGGCGGAGCGUCGGGCGGUUCGGCCGGACCACCGGCAAAAAGAGGUCGUCCUUUUGGUAGCACCAGCAACAGCGCUGCCGCAGCGGCGGCCGCCGACACUGCCGCUCCAUCUACUCUCCUUGGGCCGUCUCUCCAUGUUCACAGUUCCUUCGCCGAUCAAAACAAUAAAAGGAUAGUUCUGGCUCUUCAGAGUGGAUUAAAGAGUGAGCUAACAUGGGCAUUGAACACUCUCACAUUACUCUCUUUCAAAGAAAAGGAUGAUAUGCGCAGAGAUUCAACUCCUCUUACUAAAAUUCCUGGGUUACUUGAUGCUGUACUUCAAGUUAUUGAUGACUGGCGUGAUAUAGCACUUCCGAAAGAUCUUGUAAAGGCACCAAGAGUAAGAGCUUUAGGAGCAAAUGCUUUUGUAACAGGAUUUGGGAGUGAAUAUGAUGCGUUGGGAUCAAAUGGAAAUUUGCCACAUUCUGGCUUGGGAUCUGGUUCUUCUCUUGCGGAAGCAUCACCAAAUGUUACCAAACCUCGCUCUUCAGAGUGGUGGGCUAACGAAGAUGGUUUGUUUAAUCUAGAUGAAGAGGGGCGAGCAGAGAGACAGCAAGGUGCUGUUGCUGCUUCAAAUGUCAUCCGCAACUUCUCUUUUAUGCCAGAAAAUGAAGUUAUUAUGGCCCAACAUCGGCAUUGUUUGGAAACAAUGUUCCAGUGCAUAGAAGAUUAUGUCACAGAGGAUGAGGAACUUGUCACGAAUGCUCUUGAAACGAUUGUAAAUUUGGCCCCGCUGCUUGAUCUUCGAAUUUUCAGCUCAUCAAAGCCGUCCUACAUUAAGAUAACAGAAAAACGCGCAGUUCAAGCCAUCAUGGGAAUUCUAGGAUCUUCAGUCAAAGCCUGGCAUUGUGCAGCAGCUGAGUUACUUGGUCGUUUAAUAAUAAAUCCUGACAAUGAACCUUUUCUGCUUCCCUUCGUUUCUCAGAUACACAAGCGCUUGGUUGAUCUUCUGAGUUUCCCAGCAUUGGAUGCUCAAGCAGCCGCAGUUGGCGCACUUUAUAACCUUGCUGAAGUAAAUAUGGAUUGUCGAUUAAAACUUGCUAGUGAGCGAUGGGCAAUUGAUAGAUUGUUAAAAGUGAUCAAGACACCUCAUCCAAUACCUGAAAUUUGUAGAAAAGCGUCUAUGAUAUUGGAGAGUCUCGUGUCUGAGCCACAGAACAGGCCAUUGCUGCUAGCUUUCGAGAAUGCCUUUGCAGAGAUAUUGUUUACAGAUCCCAAAUAUUCUGAUACAUUUGCCAGGAUAUUGUAUGAAUUGACUGCGCGACCAAAUAGAGUGGCAUCAGCUCGCGGUGUUUGGGGCAUGUAACCGAAAAUUGUGCCUUAAAGGUGAUUAUUGGAUUGGUAGUAAGCUAAAUUAACAUGAAUUAGAAUUUGUCAACUUGUGGACCGACUAAGACUUGAUUGAAAGUUAGAGUCUGUCACGUACCGGCUGCUAAGUGACUGAGUGAGCAAAAGAAUUGGACUUCAGGCGUAUGGUACAAAAAUGUGAACAGGCGCGGCGCUCUAGAUUAGAACGGAGCAUGGUCCGUGGUCAACUUUAUAGGUUAAUAUUGGACUGUUUUUACUUUUCCAGUUUGUUUUUUGGUUUUAUUUCUCUAUGCAUUCUUACAAAAUUAUGUAAUCCAAUAUGUUUGCAAUUUAAGUAA